AUUCCAAGCUUCGCGGCCUAUCAGCUUGUUGGUGGGGUAAUGGCCUACCAAGGCUUUGACGGGUAGCCGGCCUGAGAGGGUGACCGGCCACACUGGGACUGAGACACGGCCCAGACUCCUACGGGAGGCAGCAGUGGGGAAUAUUGGACAAUGGGCGGAAGCCUGAUCCAGCAACGCCGCGUGAGGGAUGACGGCCUUCGGGUUGUAAACCUCUUUCAGCACAGACGAAGCGCCCUGUCGGGUGGUGACGGUAUGUGCAGAAGAAGCACCGGCCAACUACGUGCCAGCAGCCGCGGUAAUACGUAGGGUGCGAGCGUUGUCCGGAAUUAUUGGGCGUAAAGGGCUCGUAGGCGGUUUGUCGCGUCGGGAGUGAAAUCCACUGGCUUAACUGGUGGCUUGCUUUCGAUACGGGCAGACUGGAGGCAUGCAGGGGAGAACGGAAUUCCUGGUGUAGCGGUGAAAUGCGCAGAUAUCAGGAGGAACACCGGUGGCGAAGGCGGUUCUCUGGGCAUGUCCUGACGCUGAGGAGCGAAAGUGUGGGGAGCGAACAGGAUUAGAUACCCUGGUAGUCCACACCGUAAACGUUGGGCGCUAGGUGUGGGAUCCAUUCCACGGGUUCCGUGCCGCAGCUAACGCAUUAAGCGCCCCGCCUGGGGAGUAC
rnacentral:rRNA from 1 species